rnacentral:rRNA from 1 species
GAGUUUGAUCGUGGCUCAGAUUGAACGCUAGCGGGAUGCUUUACACAUGCAAGUCGAACGGCAGCGCGGACUUCGGUCUGGCGGCGAGUGGCGAACGGGUGAGUAAUGUAUCGGAACGUGCCCAGUAGCGGGGGAUAACUACGCGAAAGCGUAGCUAACACCGCAUACGCCCUACGGGGAAAGAGGGGGAUCGCAAGACCUCUCACUAUUGGAGCGGCCGAUAUCGGAUUAGCUAGUUGGUGGGGUAAAGGCCUACCAAGGCGACGAUCCGUAGCUGGUUUGAGAGGACGACCAGCCACACUGGGACUGAGACACGGCCCAGACUCCUACGGGAGGCAGCAGUGGGGAAUUUUGGACAAUGGGGGCAACCCUGAUCCAGCCAUCCCGCGUGUGCGAUGAAGGCC